UUGCUUUUAGCCAUGCUGUUUAUCACAGCAAGAGAAACCCUAACUAAGACUGCAGGAUAAUGAAAGAACAUUGAACAUACUGAUGCAAUACAGGUUUACAGGAUCUUGGAGUCUUGAGGAAAUACUAUGAAUCUCUCAAGAAGCUGAGGAUUACCUUAAAAGGCUUGGUAACAAAGCCAUGGCACAGGAAGUCUGCCCUGGAUGUUCUGCUGCUGGGAAUUGGCCCUCGGAGACAAAUUCACCCACCCUGAUGAGUCAAGGCAUUGAAAAUGAUGAAGAAUAUGGACUGGGCACUGUGCAAAUUGCUAGAGACACUGAAAUGAAUGAAGCAAGCAGACCCCUG